AUCCAUCUGACGAGUCCUAAAUAGGACGAAACGCGCGUCCUGGAU
rfam:Schistosoma mansoni, Puerto Rico, WGS project CABG01000000 data, contig: 0115